GAGGAGGUAGCUCAGUGGCAGAGUACAGGACUUGCAUUGCUGAGGUUCUGAGUUCAUAUCUCUCUCUUCU
rnacentral:tRNA from 1 species